GAUCCAAAAUGGGUCCUCCGAGUCAGUGGAGAGUAUGAGAAAUAGGGUGUUUUCACCUGUCUCAAACUCUGCCUCCACCAACUCAAUCUGCGAUCCUCAUGACCUGAGAUGCCGGAUCAUCUCAUCCCUAAGAAAGAGCCAAGCAGGACAGGAGCUUACACAUGCUGAAUCUUUAGACACAUGCUUCAGACAUGGGCUUACGCAGGAGCGUUCCCAUAGCAUCAACGUCAUGACACAAUGUCAAAGUUCCACUUUGAAGGGGAACUGAGAAAAGUAAAAAAAAAAAAAAAAAGAAAACAACAUUAUUAUUAAGCAAUAAUAAUGAAAAUAAAUAGAUCACUAACACUAUUUGUUCUAAAGUAAUGCUGUAGAUAAAGUAAUUUAGAGAUGAUAAAUAAAAUGUACUAGAAUUUUUUUUCUUUUUUUCUUGCAGUUGUAUUAGGCAUGAAAUAAAUGUUUGAAGACACAAACUGAUUUGGUUUAAAAAAAAAAAAAAAAUAGUCUGUUAAUAUACAAUUGUCUGUAUAUUAAACUGUGUUAAACAUCAAAUAGAAAUGUGACAUGAGAAAGGGAGACUUUCACAUUGGUGUCACACCAUGCAAAAUUAUUGUCAUAUCCACACUACAAUUUUAGACAAUGCCACGUUUCUUACCCUGAGCUUUAAGUAUGCAAAAGUAUGUUCCACCACAGAGACCCCAGUUACCACCACAUUUAUUUUUGACACACACUAGAUAUUUUGCAUGUUGGGCUUGUGGCUCCAAUGUCUGAUAGUUUUGCAAAAGUGUUCAUUGUUGCAAGACAUUGCAUGCUGGAUGACUAAUUCAUAUUUGCCUAAGCAAAUCAGUUAUUUGUAUUUAUGAUACAUACCCACCAUUCUAACACUUUACCUGUCAAACUGAGAAAUGAUUCUGAAAUUAAAAUCUAUGGGUCACUGAUAGUCACAACACUGACCAAGAACUUAAUGGAUAUAGAUCUUCUGUCAAUAUUCAAGGCUAGACAAUGAACUGCCAAACUUCUACAACUCAUUUCAUCUUCACCUGCUUCAUUAUGCAAUCUACACUCAUGAGAUCUGCAGAUGCAUUAAACUGCUCACAGCCAACCGCAGAGUCUCUACUACAAGCGCUCAGAGAGAGUGUCUUCAACAAAACCGAAGUGCGGCCAGUUAUUAAUCCAAGAACACCUACAAAGAUCAGUUUGGGUUUCAUUUUGUUUGCCA